UCUCUCUCUCUCGACUCCCCUUUCGUUGCCCUGCUGUCCCUUUUUCGAUCGCUCGCUCGCUCGCUCGCUCGUUUGUUUUCGCUGGUCGAUCGAGGCCGUCGUGGGUGAUGCGGGGGAAAGCGGUUAGAUGAGGUGAAGUGAGGUGACAUUUAGAUAGAUAGACCCGGACCCCCUUCGUUCCUUAAACUUCAGCUGUACUCGAUCCCACUCUCACUCUUCGGUUCGUUCGUCCGCUGCGUUCUAGCUGCCGAGAGUGGUAGUGGUGAGAGGGGCACGAUCCUGAUCCUCCCUCCUACGGCGAGGUGGACGACGAGGAGGAGGACGACGAGGACGGCAGGCGGCGGCACCGGCCGUUCCGGGUGGUCAGGAGGAGGAAGCGGGAGCUAAAGAAGGGACCGCUGCCGCGGUAGCGCGUCGAGCGAGAGUGGCCGCGGUUGCGGUGGAGGCGGCCGCUGUAGAGGUACGCGAGGGGCGCCCGGGCCCAUGUCAUGGUGUUUGGGUAGGUGAACCGGGGGCGGCGGCGGCCGAAGAGUUGGAUGAAGAGGAAGAGAGAGGUGGGAUCGGGGUUUAGAGUGCGGCGGAGGUAGCGGAAGAAGGAUUGCGGGCGGCGCGGGAGCGGGCGGCAAUUGCGGGAGCGGCAGCAGAAGCGGCGGCGCCUGAGGUCGGUGUAGGCUCAGGUUUAGCUGGAGCGGCCACUUUGCCGGCGGGUCUGGCGGGGGGCGCCAUAGGGGUUUUUCGACGUAAGGACCUAUCUGAUGUUGCGGUGUAGGCGGUGCGAGGUCCAGGCAGAGAGGCGGAGCGCGGAGGGGUUCGGCGGCGCGCGCGACGAGAGGGUGGGCGAGGUAGAGGUGAGGCGGGAGGAGGAGGAGGCGUCGUUCGGGUACGAGCGGCCUAAGCGGAGGAGGGUGCGGUUGACGUCGGAGAAGUCGACCCGGAAGUCCCGGUUGGUGCCCGGAGGGAUGGAGUACGUGAGGGUCGGUGAGUUAGGGUGGCCGAAUAGCGAGUGGUGCGGCGGCGGUCUGGCGGAGGGGGCGCGAGGGGGCCCGUUGGCGGUGGGGACCCAAAGCGACGACAAUCGACGGCGCACGCCGCGGCAGAAGUGUAAGCAGGACGAGAAGCAGACCAUGAGGUACCCCUUCGCGGCGGGCCAGCGCGGCCACCUCAUGGGGUACGUGGGCAGGAGGCUGCUGUAGUAGAUGCUCUUCUAACACGACCAGCCUCAGUUCCUGGAGGGACGGCUACAGUGGCGUCGACGAGUGUUCAUCGGCGAUAGGAGAGGAGAUCUAAGAUGACGUUCACACGAGGACAUUGACAUUCAUCCUUUAACAACGAUCAUUCGCGCCACCUUUUACGUCUAAAACGGCCGUUUCGCUUGUUUCGUUUAAGACGUGAAGGGUGGCCCUAAUCCUAAGCUAACGAGAAAGAUUUAACAUUGAACAGUUAACAGUACAGUAGGUGGUGACGAUGGUGAAGAAGAAACAUACGAAUAAUCAGUACAGGAUCAUGAUAAGUUCUCGAGUAGAAUAGUAGAGAUUACCUGUCUCAUUGUACUACAAACAAAAAAGCCGCUUACGUGUAUUAUAUCGACUACUGUUUAACUCCGUACUAUAUACUCAUAGACAUAGCGCCAAACAAGGUUUUAUAUCUCAACGAUCGAAACCACUAACGAGGGGGAGUUAUUACGUGGACACGAAAAGUUUGCGUGAAGUGGUGACGACAAAUUAAAUGAGGACGUAAUCAUCUAAGCCUCAAAGAAGAAGCCGUCGAAGUUGAACGCCCUCUGAGAACAACGUCAAACCACCGUACCAAGACACGGUUCAACGAAUUGUUCUACGACGAUCCACGUCAAGUCAACCGGUUUCGGUGAAACGUAAUUAUAACCUCUACACGUGCUCUCACGACUUUAGUAAUACCCUCUAGAUCCACGUACGAUAUACGGGUAACGAUGAAAGUCAAUCCUUGGUGAUCGACAUAAUACCGUAGGUCCUAAGGUCCCAAACGAAAUGAAAAUCCAAUGAACAUAGGACCUUGGACUACGACAAAAACCGACUGGUCAACGUAUAACUUUCUACAUUUCUGCUGUUCAAUAAUACUUUAUAUGCUAGUAAAAAUCAUUAUGUAAGUAAUCAAUCG
rnacentral:rRNA from 1 species